rnacentral:rRNA from 1 species
GACAGAGGAGCCAAGCGUUGUCCGGAUUGACUGGGCGUAAAGCGCACGCAGGCGGUCGCGCGCGUGGGGUGUGAAAUCUGGCCGCUUAACGGCCAGGCGCCAUCCCAUACGGCGCGACUGGAGUGAUGCAGAGGUCGGUGGAAUUGCCGGUGUAGUGGUGAAAUGCGUAGAGAUCGGGAGGAACACCAGUGGCGAAAGCGGCCGGCUGGGCCUGUACUGACGCUGAGGCGCGAAAGCGUGGGGAGCGAACCGG